CACAACAAUGAACAACAGAUCAACAAUUCUCUGCGGAAAAUCUUGGGCCGAAAAAGAUAUUGCUAAUUCUCUGUUUUCUAAAAUUCAAAUUCAACUAAUAAUACUACCUCUCAAUUUCAACUUCCCAAUGCGAAUACCUCUCUUCGUCUUCAAUCUCGAUCAACCAAACCUUCGUUUCAUGUCGAUUCCUUCUUCAAUUCUCUUUCUACUUGUCGUUUUGGACGCUUUCUCCUUUGGUCUCCUCGCUUGCCUUCUACUCACUACAUCGUUUCAAUAUAUCCCUCUUUCACUUUCUUUUUUUUUAAUCUUAUUAUAAUUACCAAUUUCAGUUGAUCAAUUAAGUUAAUUAUUGUAUUUUGUUCAUGUAACAGUAAUUUCAGUGAGCGAUCAGUUUGUGUUGCUGAUGUUCAAUUGAAAGGCAAAGGUUUCAAACCUUUGGAGGAACUCUACUACCAGACUUGGUUGCACAGGACCAAACGGGGAUGCUGAUUGGAACGGGAGUUAGGCAAGAUGGACUUUAUUACUUCGGAGAAGCUGACUCGGUACAACAUAUUUCUGAGAAUGGAGCAACCUCUUCGUUGGAGUUAUGGCACAAAAGGAUGGGGCAUCCUUCACAACAUGUAGUAAAGUUAAUUCCCCCCUGUAGUUGAUUUUAAGGGUAGUUUAAAUAAAUUAUGUGAAGUUUGUUUCAAGGCUAAGCAUCCUAGGGACAAGUUUUCGGUCAGUGAUAGUAGAGUAAGUCGUAUCUUUGAAAAAGUACAUUGUGAUUUGUGGGGUUCUUAUAGGCAUCCUUCGUCUUGUGGAGCUCGUUAUUUUUUAACUAUAGUUGAUGAUUAUUCUCAUGUCGUAUGGGUUUAUUUGUUGGAUGAUAAAACGGUAGUUUUCCGUACUUUUAUGAGUUUCAUUG